GGAGGGUGCGAGCGUUGUCCGGAAUCAUUGGGCGUAAAGGGCGCGUAGGUGGCCCGGUCAGUCUUUGGUGAAAGCGCGGGGCUCAACCCUGCGUCGGCCAGGGAUACUGCCGCGGCUCGAGCACUGUAGAGGCAGGCGGAAUUCCGGGUGUAGCGGUGGAAUGCGUAGAGAUCCGGAAGAACACCGGUGGCGAAGGCGGCCUGCUGGGCAGUUUAGCUGACACUGAGGCGCGACAGCGUGGGGAGCAAACAGGAUUAGAUACCCUGGUAGUCCACGCCGUAAACGAUGGGCACUAGGCGCUUGGGGGAGCGACCCCCCGAGGGCCGGCGCUAACGCAUUAAGUGCCCCGCCUGGGGAGUACGGCCACAAGGCUG
rnacentral:rRNA from 1 species